rnacentral:rRNA from 1 species
AGCACCCUUUGGGGUGUGACUGCGUACCUUUUGUAUAAUGGGUCAGCGACUUAUAUUCUGUAGCAAGGUUAACCGAAUAGGGGAGCCGGAGGGAAACCGAGUCUUAACCGGGCGUUAAGUUGCAGGGUAUAGACCCGAAACCCGGUGAUCUAGCCAUGGGCAGGUUGAAGGUUGGGUAACACUAACUGGAGGACCGAACCGACUAAUGUUGAAAAAUUAGCGGAUGACCUGUGGCUGGGGGUGAAAGGCCAAUCAAACCGGGAGAUAGCUGGUUCUCCCCGAAAGCUAUUUAGGUAGCGCCUCGUGAAUUCAUCUCCGGGGGUAGAGCACUGUUUCGGCUAGGGGGCCAUCCCGGCUUACCAACCCGAUGCAAACUGCGAAUACCGGAGAAUGUUAUCACGGGAGACACACGGCGGGUGCUAACGUCCGUCGUGAAGAGGGAAACAACCCAGACCGCCAGCUAAGGUCCCAAAGUCAUGGUUAAGUGGGAAACGAUGUGGGAAGGCCCAGACAGCCAGGAUGUUGGCUUAGAAGCAGCCAUCAUUUAAAGAAAGCGUAAUAGCUCACUGGUCGAGUCGGCCUGCGCGGAAGAUGUAACGGGGCUAAACCAU